GUGGAGGCCGGGUCAGGGCACCUGGCUGGUUUGCAUGUCCUGGGUUGUCGUGAGCAGGAGGAGCAGAUGCACUCAGGCAGCCUGGGAGCAGGCUUAGCUCAGCAGAGUGAGGGCUCCCUGGCCAGGGAGUGCACAGCUUUAAGAGGCACUGAGCAAGCAUCUCUGAGGAGGACUGAGGGGCUGCUGCAGAGGGGAUCCCUUCUCUUGGUGGACAUUUGGUGACUCAUUACCUCUGGGGCUAGGAUUCCAGGUAUCUGUGAGUGAAAAGGACUGGAUGCUCGAAAGUGAUGCUUGAGCAAGACAGGAAAACAGAAGGGCCUCCCCGAUAUAGAAGCAGCCACAACGUGUGUCUGGACAUGCACAGAAGCAGGUGUUGUGUGUGCAGCCUGCAAACCGACUGUGCCAGGGUUGCAGGAAGACUUUUUUAGUAGCCCCAAGAAUGAGGAAUCGACAGUCUGCACAGGUGAAGGUUUGCAGACCAAAGUUGUGCUUCUAACACUGUCCUGCUCGAGAACCUGCCAGUACUGCCUUGUACCUUGCAGCCCAGCAAGGUGGAACAGCCAGGUCUUCCUAAAUACAUCAUGCUACCCACAUCAGUGUGCCAUAAUGAAGUAACACAGACUGAGCGGCUGAAACAACAGAAGUUUAUUUUCUCACAAUUCUGGAGGCUGGAAGGCCAAGAUCAAGGUGUUGGCAGGUUUGGUUUCUCCUGAGGCCUCUCUUUGGCUUGCAGAGGGCUUUCUCACUGUGUCCCCUGUGCAUACCCAGCCCUGGUAUCUUUUUGUGAGUCCAAAUUUCCUCCUUUUAUAAAGACACCAGUCAAGGUCAGGUACAGUGGCUCACACCCGUAAUCCCAGCACUUUGGGAGACCGAGGCAGGUGGAUCACUUGAGGCUAGGAGUUCGAGGACCAGUCUGGCCAACAUGGCAAAACCUUGUCUCUGCUAAAAAUACAAAAAUUAGCUGGAUGUAGUGGUGCAUACCUGUAGUCCCAGCUACUUGGGAGGUUGAGGCACAAGAAUCACUUGAACCUGGGAAGUGGAGGUUGCAGUGAGCUGAGAUAGUGCCACUGCACUCCAGCCUGGAUGAUGGAGCAAGACUGUCUCCUAAAAAAUUAAAUAAACACACCAGUCAAACUGGAUUGGGGCCUACC
rnacentral:lncRNA from 13 species